AUGAACCCAUAUGGAGUAGCAUGUGCCUUAGAGCCAUUCAUUACCGUGUCUAGUAAUUUGACAAUGAAAACAUACCAGUUGAUUUGCAUUCCUCGCUCAAGGCACUCCAUAAGAACCAGGUCCAUGUAAUUUGCAGUGUGUCUUCUCUCUUGUCUGGGCAAGAGGCACUUGUUGACAAAUUCAAACAAGACCUUGUGUUCAUGUCUCAUUUCACUCUUCUGCACAAAUCUGGUUGUAGGCACAUCUUCAGAAUCAAAAAAUCAUUUAGUGAUUUCAACAACAGUGGUAAGAGAAUCCAGACAUGACCACCUUUGCCUUGUAUAAUCAUCAUACCCUUCAGUAGGUAUGUCCAGAAUCUCACCCAGUUUGAGUGCAUCAAACUUUACUUUCACUCCUUUCACCAGGCUGGUGACUACUUCAUCCUUCAUAGCAGAAUUUGCCAUAAAUUCAAUCAGCUCAUUCCUGGCCAGCCUCCCAUCAUUUUAAGGACCAUGUCCUUCCAACUUUGUGCAGCUAAAGCAUCCACCAGUCUUAUCAUCCCUGGCUUAACCAGGUCCUUCAACAAUCUUCCUUUCAGAAUUUUUCUUUUGCCAAAGAUGGCAAGCUUA
rnacentral:lncRNA from 1 species